rnacentral:ncRNA from 1 species
GAAGUAAAAAUCGUAACAAGGUCUCCGUUGGUGAACCAGCGGAGGGAUCAUUACCGAGUUAUACAACUCAUCAACCCUGUGAACAUACCUAAACGUUGCUUCGGCGGGAACAGACGGCCCCGUAACACGGGCCGCCCCCGCCAGAGGACCCCCUAACUCUGUUUUUAUAAUGUUUUUUCUGAGUAAACAAGCAAAUAAAUUAAAACUUUCAACAACGGAUCUCUUGGCUCUGGCAUCGAUGAAGAACGCAGCGAAAUGCGAUAAGUAAUGUGAAUUGCAGAAUUCAGUGAAUCAUCGAAUCUUUGAACGCACAUUGCGCCCGCCAGUAUUCUGGCGGGCAUGCCUGUUCGAGCGUCAUUACAACCCUCAGGCCCCCGGGCCUGGCGUUGGGGAUCGGCGGAGCGCCCCCUGCGGGCACACGCCGUCCCCCAAAUACAGUGGCGGUCCCGCCGCAGCUUCCAUUGCGUAGUAGCUAACACCUCGCAACUGGAGAGCGGCGCGGCCACGCCGUAAAACACCCAACUUCUGAAUGUUGACCUCGAAUCAGGUAGGAAUACCCGCUGAACUUAAGCAUAUCAAUAAGCGGAGGAAAAGAAACCAACAGGGAUUGCCCCAGUAACGGCGAGUGAAGCGGCAACAGCUCAAAUUUGAAAUCUGGCUCUCGGGCCCGAGUUGUAAUUUGUAGAGGAUGCUUUUGGUGAGGUGCCUUCCGAGUUCCCUGGAACGGGACGCCAUAGAGGGUGAGAGCCCCGUCUGGUUGGACACCGAUCCUCUGUAAAGCUCCUUCGACGAGUCGAGUAGUUUGGGAAUGCUGCUCUAAAUGGGAGGUAUAUGUCUUCUAAAGCUAAAUACCGGCCAGAGACCGAUAGCGCACAAGUAGAGUGAUCGAAAGAUGAAAAGAACUUUGAAAAGAGAGUUAAACAGUACGUGAAAUUGUUGAAAGGGAAGCGCUUGUGACCAGACUUGGGCUUGGUUGAUCAUCCGGGGUUCUCCCCGGUGCACUCUUCCGGCUCAGGCCAGCAUCAGUUCGCCCUGGGGGACAAAGGCUUCGGGAAUGUGGCUCUCUCCGGGGAGUGUUAUAGCCCGUUGCGUAAUACCCUGUGGCGGACUGAGGUUCGCGCAUUCGCAAGGAUGCUGGCGUAAUGGUCAUCAGUGACCCGUCUUGAAACACGGACCAAGGAGUCGUCUUCGUAUGCGAGUGUUCGGGUGUCAAACCCCUACGCGAAAUGAAAGUGAACGCAGGUGAGAGCUUCGGCGCAUCAUCGACCGAUCCUGAUGUUAUCGGAUGGAUUUGAGUAAGAGCAUACGGUGCCGGACCCGAAAGAAGGUGAACUAUGCCUGUGUAGGGUGAAGCCAGAGGAAACUCUGGUGGAGGCUCGCAGCGGUUCUGACGUGCAAAUCGAUCGUCAAACAUGGGCAUGGGGGCGAAAGACUAA